GAUUUUCAGUCUCUGCAAUCAUAUUUUCCACAGGACUUUUCCUUACUUCAGCUAAAGACGGGGUUCUUGUCUGGCCCACGACCAUGAAAAUUUAGGUUCACAGAUGGUUUAAAGGGUACAAAUAGCAAGUUGAUGCAAAGAAAAAUAUAUAAAGUAAAUCAUGGAGAUUAUAUGUGAUUUGGCAAAGGUCAUGAAGGAUACCAUCGCUGAAACUAAACUUUGGAAUAAAUUAGUCUUAUCAAAUUACAAAGACCAGAGCCCUGCCAACCUCUGCAGAAUGCGGUCAUACUGCUCCCCCAUGGAAUGAAGUAUAGAACAAAUCUACCAAUCCUGAGAGAUUGCUGUGACUUUGAAUUCUGUGGAAUCUACACAUCAAUUUGAGGACAGCAGACAGCUUAACAAUGUUGUGUCUUCCAAAGAACAUAGUAUCUAUCUUCAUUUAUUCUGAUCCUCUUUAAUUGCUUUCAGCAGUAUUUGUCAUGGGUGAGGGUGAGAUGCUGUUCUGUGCUAUGUAGAAUGUUUAGCAGCAUAUUUGACCACUAGAUGCCCGUAGCACCUCCCCACCAAGUUGCCACAAUCAAAGUGACUCCAGGCAUUACAAAACAUCUUCUGUGGGGCAAAAUUACCCUUGAUUAAGAACCCCUGAACUAGAGAAAUAGAGAAAGUGUGGUAUUAACAAAACGAUAGCCAUAUUAAUCAGUGGCAAUGAAAAUUAUCAACUCUGUAUGCAAUAGCAAACAAAACAAGAACAAUAACUAAAACAACCUUCUAAAGGCUGUGGAAAGUUUUAAAAAAAGAAAAAGGUCAUAAAGAUUUUAGAGAGAAUAAACAUUUGUUGCAGUGUCAUUUCCCUGCUUUUGCUGUUUUUGCUGAAGUGCGGACUGCAGUUGAAGCACGACUCGAGGAAGGUGGAACCCCUGUGCAAAACUCAGCAUUUUACUGUCUAGGUUACCAGAGGAUGGACUAAGGGCACUCAUGGCCAUUGCAAAAGUAAAGGGGAGUCUCAGGAAAGAGAGAAACUGAGGAUGGCAACCCCAACUCCUAUGGACUGAAUUGUGUCUUCCCCAACCCCCAGUUGGUAUGUUGAAGCCCUAACCCUCAAAGUUCAAUAAAUCACACG
rnacentral:lncRNA from 10 species